GCAGGGGUGCCGGAGCGGUCAAACGGGACAGGCCUAGGACCUGUUGGCUUAGUGCCUACGCGAGUUCAAAUCUCGUCCCCUGCA
rnacentral:tRNA from 3 species